ACCUGAAGGAACAUUCAAGCAGGCUGGACUUGAAGCAGGGGGCUAACUGCAAAUGUGACCUACAAAAAAGAGUCUGUGACCCCUAUGAAUAGAACCUAGAGUGAUGAACCCUAUACAUCAGGAGCCACAGGCUGGAGAUUUCCAGCUGUGGUCUGAAAGAGCAGAAGUAGGAGCUAUGCAGGAAUUACAGAUGGCAGUGUGCGCAGUUACCCAACAUGUAGUGUCUGUGUCCAGACCAGGAGGAGCUGUCCUGUCCCUCCUGCAUGCUACAAACAAGGAGUCAGUCCUGAACACCUGUGUAGUACACUGAUUCAUAUUAAGUACUGAAGAUUCUGAAUUAACCUGCGUUGCUAACUUCUCUGGGAUCACCGGCUUCUGUUGAGAGGACAAACAGAGAACACUACUCAUUUCCAGUUUUCAGUGCCUGGCCACAAAGUGAAUCGUGGACUCCAACUCCUGAUCUGCAGACGUGCACAUUGCACAUUAGUGACCCUGAAGGAGGAGUGUGCCUCUCAGCUCUCAUUUACUGGAAGAUUACCAUGUCAAUGCCGAGGUCCAGAGGAGCUCAGAGGUUCCACAGCGAAUCAUGGGGACACGCUGUGGAGAACAAUUCAGUGGUCACUCUUCCACCUUCCAAGUGCAGACAACGACCCAAAUCACCAACAACAUCUAUGGAUUCUACCGGAGGGUCCACUAGUGAGAGCCUCCCAGUGGGUAGAUACUGUUGAAUAUCUACCCCUGCACAACUUAGACCCAUUUGCAUUCUGGCAGUGUAGCAUGUUCUAUGCCUUUCUGUGUGCAGGAUAACCCAAAAACAUGCAUGAGAGGGAAAGAAAUUAUCUCAGAAGAGCCUUGGGAAGUGAAUGACCUCCUCCUUCUGAACUCUAGAAUGGAUGUUGAG